UACGAAGGGUGCAAGCGUUAAUCGGAAUUACUGGGCGUAAAGGGUGCGUAGGCGGUUCGUUAAGUCUGUCGUGAAAUCCCCGGGCUCAACCUGGGAAUGGCGAUGGAUACUGGCGAGCUAGAGUGUGUCAGAGGAUGGUGGAAUUCCCGGUGUAGCGGUGAAAUGCGUAGAGAUCGGGAGGAACAUCAGUGGCGAAGGCGGCCAUCUGGGACAACACUGGCACUGAGAGACGAAAGCUAGGGGAGCAAAUGGG
rnacentral:rRNA from 1 species